UAUUCAGUGGACUGGAUUCCUCUCGCCCUCCUUUAUUCCUUCUUUCUCUUUGUCCCUUCCCUCCCUCUGUUUACUUCCUCCCUAGGCCAGGUGCCAAAAACGCUAGUGCAGCAGUACCUCAGCUAUCAGCUUAAAUUGUCAAACUGGUUUCCACCUCUUUCAUUUCAGAGAGCACUGUAAUUGCAACUCCUCUUAUUUUAGGUGAUGAUAGUAUUUUAAACUCAGAAUUAUGUAAAGAAAUGGAGAUAACGCUGAACCGCUUAGCUGCAAAGGGGUGGCUACAGACCAAGCAAGGAAAUGUUUGCAUAAAUCCUAUGUAGGCAGAUUCUCACCUAGAAAAAAGCCUGCAUUUCUGCUAAAAUAUUCAGAAUCUCUCUGGCAUCCACCACAAGGCAAUUGUCAGGCUUGAUUGGUCCAGCAGGGAAGGCUUUUGCUUUCAUUUCUGUGCAUUUGGUGCCAGCAUAUUUCCCUGACAAGUGAUGCGAGAGGUGACUGGAAGAGUUCAUUGACCGUGGAGAUGCCUACGCAGGGAAUCACUUUCCUUCUUCUACAGAGAUGAGCAACAAGGACAAGAAAUCCUGGAGUAACUCAGGGGUCUGUGGUUGUCAUUUGUGAAGGACACAUUCAUGUUUCAAUCAAUCAAGCCAAUAUGCUGGAAUGAGCUUUGAAAGGCCAUGGCGUGAAGGUGCUUAUAAAGUGACAGUGGCCAAAAUUACCUUCACUAUAUUCGCUCCAUGACACCACUUUGACAGAGUUUAAAGGCCAGAAAAAUUACAUUAUUUGUUAGUUCCUUGGUCUGGAAAGGCCUGGCCAGUCUAUACCAAACGUAUCCACUAUCAUCAGAGAAGUGAUUGCCAUGCAGGUGAAUGACACUGCAAAUAAAGGCAGAAACAUAUGUCUGCAACAUGAAGCAGAAGGGUCCAAAGCUGGUGUACAGUUAGAGAGACCAGCCAAUCUAGGAAGAAGAGCAGAAGAUCUGGAUAUCCUCAGAGAAUCACUACAAGUUUCUCAUCUAGA